UACGUAGGGUGCGAGCGUUUAAUCGGAAUUACUGGGCGUAAAGCGUGCGCAGGCGGUUCGUUGUGUCGGCGGUGAAAGCCCCGGGCUCAACCUGGGAAUGGCCGUUGAAACUGGCGAACUGGAGUGUGGCAGAGGGGGGGUGGAAUUCCGCGUGUAGCAGUGAAAUGCGUAGAGAUGCGGAGGAACACCGAUGGCGAAGGCAGCCCCCUGGGCUGACACUGACGCUCAGGCACGAAAGCGUGGGGAGCAAACAGG
rnacentral:rRNA from 1 species